UACGAAGGGGGCUAGCGUUGCUCGGAAUCACUGGGCGUAAAGGGUGCGUAGGCGGGUCUUUAAGUCAGGGGUGAAAUCCUGGAGCUCAACUCCAGAACUGCCUUUGAUACUGAAGAUCUUGAGUUCGGGAGAGGUGAGUGGAACUGCGAGUGUAGAGGUGAAAUUCGUAGAUAUUCGCAAGAACACCAGUGGCGAAGGCGGCUCACUGGCCCGAUACUGACGCUGAGGCACGAAAGCGUGGGGAGCGAACGA
rnacentral:rRNA from 1 species